rnacentral:other from 1 species
GCGGGGCUGCGGGGCGCGUCAGGAGACACUAUCCCCGGGGCCUUAUCGAUCCUAACGGGAGCUGUCCCUGGCCUCGCCCCUGGGCUUGGUCACUACGGCGCCCACCUACCUCGUAGGUUUCCCGGGAUCGACACUCCAACGGCUUUUGCGGCUCCGCA